UACGGGGGGGGCAAGCGUUGUUCGGAAUUACUGGGCGUAAAGGGCUCGUAGGCGGCCAACUAAGUCAGACGUGAAAUCCCUCGGCUUAACCGGGGAACUGCGUCUGAUACUGGAUGGCUUGAGAUUGGGAGAGGGAUGCGGAAUUCCAGGUGUAGCGGUGAAAUGACGUAGAUAUCUGGAGGAACACCGGUGGCGAAGGCGGCAUCCUGGACCAACACUGACGCUGAGGAGCGAAAGCCAGGGGAGCAAACGGG
rnacentral:rRNA from 1 species